rnacentral:rRNA from 1 species
GACGAACCGUGCAAACGUUGUUCGGAAUCACUGGGCUUAAAGGGCGCGUAGGCGGGCUGCCGCGUCCGGGGUGAAAUCCUCCGGCUCAACCGGGGAAGGGCCUCGGAUACGGGCGGCCUGGAGUGGGGUGAGGGGCGUGCGGAACUGUGGGUGGAGCGGUGAAAUGCGUUGAGAUCCACAGGAACUCCGGUGGCGAAGGCGGAUCUCUGGGCCUGUCCUGACGCUCGAGGCGCGAAAGGCUAGGGGAGCGAACAGG